CAAAACAUUUUCAUGAUUGUUCAUGUGCCUCAGACCACUCUGUGACUGUGAUUUUAUUGUGUCGUGUUUAAUAUUAUUCGCUCCUAAAAUUAGCGAAAAACAAUUAAGUUAUUGAUUAUAAAAUGUCCUCAUCAAAGGUUUUUCUUAACGAACACAUCCAGCGAGGGAGGAACGAGCGAUCUAAAUGCUUCAUCAUCCCCCAACAUACCACAACCUCUAGGAAGAGUAUACUGGUGUAUGGCCCCUCCUGUUGGAACAACUUGCCUUUGGCGACAAGACAAACCAGCUCGCUAACAACCUUCAAGACCGCGUUGAACAGAGCUACAUAACGCAAAUAUUAUAUUCGUUAUCAAAACAUUUAUUAAUAUUCCACGCGUUUUGUGACACAAGUGAUUUCCUUAACCUGAACUAAUAGUUAAUUGUAACCGACAGGCUGCGUUAAAGUUAAUAAAUUACAAAUUACAAAUUACAAUUACAAAUUACACAAACACUCACAGGAUCUCUAUGAAACUUGAUGUUUCCUCGAAGAGAUUCCUUUUUACUUAACUCUAAGCGUACAACUUUCGAGGAUAUGAUGGCUAGCAUCUUACAAAUGCUAAAACCACCAAACCCACAGAUCGUGUACUAUAAAUGCCGUGACCGAGAUUCGAUCUCACGACCGUUAGCUUAGAAGACUUGAAGGCUAUCCUCUACGCCACGGGCUGCGGCAAGGUUAAGAGGAUCAAUAGAAUUUAAAAGCAUAAACAUGCUGUCUACAAUAUUUUAGAUGAUUAAGAAUAAUAACCUUAAACUGAAACGCAGUAUCUGAAUGUAAGAAUAUAAGAUGCAGCAUGUUUAGCUCAUAAAGUCGGUCAUAUCAGCCAACAAAGGAUUCUCUGACUGAAUAUUGUUAUCCUUGACCUUGUACAAAAGUUACAUAUUACUUUAAAUUAAGGAAGCGUGUGUUAUAAUCUUGGACGUGGGAAAGGAUACUUUAAUCAACACAAACAAUCGGACAGAGUCCUUCUUUCAACGGGCGAAAAGAUGUGUUACCAAAAUUGUGGAGAGAAAGAUUUUCAGCAAACCGCAAGACGAAGUUGGGCUUAUUUUGAUGGGCACUAACGAAACAAGUAAUCAACUGAACGUAGAAUAUGGUGGAUACGAUCAUGUUUCGGAGGCUUUCGAUAUUUCACCGAGUAACUGGCAGAUGCUACGAGUUCUGGAAAAACAAGUACAACCAUCAGAAGUUAAUGCAGACUGGUUUGAUGCAUUGGUAGUGGCUAUGAACUUUCUAAAAAUUGGCGUGCAGGCUAAGAAAUUCGCUCAUCUUAAAAUCAUUAUUAUUUCAACACUAUCAGUAUCGGCUACAAUCGAUGAAGAACAACUUGAUUCGGUUGUUAAAAAGUUGAGUACGAUGUCCUGUGAAUUGAAUAUUAUAAACGAUACUAUAGAACAUCAGCAGGAAAUUAAUGAACAAGAAGAACCUCCAAAGUUUAGUGCUCUUGGAAUGUUCAGUCAACAGCACACUAAAACUAAGGAACAGCGAGCCAAUGAAAAGCUGUUAGCUGAUAUAGUAUUCAAAUCAAAUGGAGCUUUAUGUAAUCUCAGUUCAGCAGAAUUACUAUUGGUACAUUUUGAAAAGAAAGCUACUAGAGCUGCACCUUGGAAUAGUCAGCUAUCUAUAGGAACACAACUUCAGAUCAGCAUUUCAGCCUAUGUGUACAUCACUGAAGAGAAAGGAAUAGGUUCAUUCAAAACUGAAAGUAUUGAUCCUAAUGUAUCUGUUAAGUUAACCAAGGACUAUUUUAAAGACGAUAAGUUAUUUGAACCAGAUUUCGGAGACCUUAUUAAAGGAUACAUGUACGGUUCAACAAUUGUCCCCUACGAUAGUCAGAUGGAUAUUGAUUACAAAUCUGGAGAACAAAGGCUUUCAUGUCUUGGCUUUACACUGGCAGCUAAUAUUGUUGAAGAAUAUCUCUGUGGAACCGGUACUCAUGUGGUCGUUGCUAGAAAAGAUUGCGCAGCAUCGGAAGCAAAAUUGUCAGCGUUGGUAAAAGCAAUGACAGAUUUGGAUGUCGUGAUGGUUGCCACUAAAGUUUAUAGGCGAGACACGAAGCCAAAAAUCAAUGUACUGAUGCCAGCAUAUCGCAAACGGUAUCCUUGCCUUAUGAUGUAUGAGCUGUGUUUCCAAGAGGAAGUUGUGCUGUUGAAAUUUCCUACACUCCUCUCUAACAAACACAAACCUACCGACGCUCAAUAUGAUGCUAUGGACAAACUUAUUGAUGCAAUGGAUUUAAUGAAUGCCUACGACGAUGAGGCAGGUUCGAAAGAAGCUUUCUCUCUUCACAAAACACUCAAUCCAAUUCACCAGCAUAUGUAUCGAACGAUUGCACAUCGUGCUUUAUAUCCCAAAGCUCCGAUUCCUUCAAUGGACGAUGAACUAAAAAGUUUAGUUGAUGUACCACCAAGAAUAAAAGAGCGUUCGAAAGACGUGGUGGGAGAGGUAAAAAAUCUCUUUCCACUCAAAGAAGUCAGAGUUAAUGCCCGUAUCAAAUGGUUACAACGAACGGCGAAUAUCAAUAUUCCGAAUGACCCAACUGCGGCCAGCUCUUCUCAGCACAUGGCGUAUCAAAACAGUUCUGACAACGAGGAUAUCGACGAUCAAAGAGUAAUUGUGGAAGUCGGUACAGUAACACCAGCGGAAGACUUUGCUCUAUUGCUUAAACGGGGUGAAAAGUUUGCAACGUUAUGUACUCAAAUCCAAAGGGUCAUUUCCGAUUUGGUGUUCAAAUCGAUGACGAUACAAUAUGAAAAAGUGGCCAUGGCCAUGAUGAUAUAUCGAGAAGAAGCGAAAAUUCUUGGGCCGUACCGAUACAACGAAUGGAUUGGAGAGUUCAAAAAAAGUUUACUAGCGCGUAAUAAGCUCGAAUUUUGGGAGCAAAUUGUGAUUAAAGAAAGGUUUGGCUUAAUUGGUGCCACUGAGAGUGACAUAAGCACUGUCACAAAUGACGAAAUUGAAUCGUUCUACAGUUUCAGUGCUGCUGCUAAAAUAAAUUUAGAAGAUGGAAAUGCUGAUUACAUUGACGCAGAUGAUCUUUUUGCGAAUAUGUGAAUAAGAAAAAAUAUUAUUAUGGAUGAUUAUAACGUUUGUUAAUAAAUCUGUGAACUUUUUUCAAGCAGGUGCAUAAAUCAUUCGUAAAGAAAAAUGAAUAUUUACUAACUAGCUAUGAUAAAUUUAUAAAAUAGCACUUCUUCUACUAUGCUGGAUAAAAUAAUGCUUUUGAGAAGAUUCUGAUAAUAUUCGGUUGUUCCGGUAGACGCUAGACGAUAACGGGUAGACAGUUGGACGGUGAUGCAAUAUAUUCGCGAGCGUCUUUCAUUGAACCUAAUCUCAAAUUACUCCGCUGAACAGCCAGCUCAAAAAACAGAAAAUGGGCAACCGCAAGACUCCUCAGUACAAAGCUUGGAUAUUCUUAGAAGAAAUCAAACAGAUACAAAAUCUAGAUCUAGAAUAUCAACAAUUUCUGGUUCGUCAAUCGAUCAAGGCGCAUAUCUCGGCGGACGGCUUCAAAGCAUGAGCAGCGCGGUGCCUUCCACUUACACAACCCCAUUCCAAAGUCCAGUGGUAUCUGAAAAAUGGAGACCUCACAGCCACCCCAACAUGUUCCCUCCAAGUUCGUCUCUGGUCAACCAAAAUGAAGCCAGUACAUCUUCCUUCAAGGGCACGCCUAACGGUUUUGUGUUAGAUCAAGGCCAAAUAACAAAUUCGACUCGAUACCCUCCAACAUACACAACGCAACAGUCAAACGGAGCUUACAGCAAUCACUCAUUCAGCCACAAUGUUACAAGUCAAUGUAUUACAGGACAAGUUGGAGAACAGCCAGAGCCGCACGUCGUCCGUGAGCAGUAUUGGGCCUGGUCCUGUAAAUGUAGACGUCAAUUGAGCAGCCGCGAAAAGGUGUUGUUACUAGUGAUAGGUUUUCUGUUGUUAAUCAUCGGUGGACUAUCAGCUUAUCUUGCGAUUGUGACUGGUGACGGAAAUCCUCUCCAUGGUGGAUUAUUAACACAAAGCGGAUUCGGUUACAAAACAUAUAGAUAAGUAUAUAUUAUUAAAAAAAACUUAUCAAUUUUACUGAAAAUGCACAAUUUAGAAAAAAAAAUGUACACAUGUUUAUAGAGAUAAAGUUAAUAA